UUUUUCUAUCUGUAUGACAUAGAAAAUGUAUUAAGUCUUCACAUUGAUUUUCAGGGGAGGAUUUCUGAAAGAAGAAGGGGAAAGAUACAGAAAGAGAGGCGCAGUUGCUGGAGAGAAGAAUGUAAUCCCCUGAAUAGACAACUUUGUGUGCCAUACGGAUAUUGUCCCAGAUGAAGAAAAGUUCUAUUGUCUCCUUAAUGGCUUUCUAUUUGUAUGUUGUAAUGAAGUACCAGAACAUAGCCAUGACCAUGAAAGGUCAGAUACGUCUCUGACAAUGGCCAGCUCAAGAUACUUCAGUGAAAUUUAAAAUAGCUCUGAGUUCUCAGGUGAAAAAAUAUAGCAGAAAAAAUUAGCAUGAAAGGUUUGCAUUAUUUCUCAGCUAUAGACAACAGAGACAAUUAGUAAUCUCAACUGAAUGGACAGAAAUAAGCUUCAGAAUGGACAGAAAUAAGCUUCAGAAAGAAGAAUCUUCAGAAAGAAGAAUCUCCACGAUGUAGAGCUCCUCUUUUCCUAAUGUCCCAAAAGUAUAAUAAAAGAAUACUCUUCCAGCCA